AUUGAACGCUGGCGGUAGGCCUAACACAUGCAAGUCGAGCGGCAGCACAGUACUUGCUCGCGCAUUCAGGGGGCGACGGGCGAGUGAUGGAUAGGAACCUCCCAGGCUGCGGGGUCUAGGGUGAGGACGCGGGGAAACAUACGCCAAUAGCGCAUAGGGCCAACGUGGGAAAGCAUCGGAUCUUCCGCUCUUACGUGAGCCGAGGUCGGAUUAGCUAGUUGGCGGGGUAAAGGCGUACCAAGGCGACGAUCCGUAACUGGUCUGAGAGGAUGAUCAGUCACACUGGAACUGAGACACGGUCCAGACUCCUACGGGAGGCAGCAGUGGGGAAUAUUGGACAAUGGGCGAAAGCCUGAUCCAGCCAUGCCGCGUGUGUGAAGAAGGUCUUCGGAUUGUAAAGCACUUUAAGUGGGGAGGAAAGGCAGUAAGUUAAUACCUUGCUGUUUUGACGUUACCAAAAGAAUAAGCACCGGCUAACUUCGUG
rnacentral:rRNA from 1 species